GAUGAACGCUAGCGGCAGGCUUAAUACAUGCAAGUCGAGGGGCAGCAGUUUUGUAGCAAUACAGAAGCUGGCGACCGGCAAACGGGUGCGGAACACGUACGCAACCUUCCUCUAACUGGAAGAUAGCCCACCGAAAGGUGGAUUAAUAUUCCAUAGUAUAUUGAAAAGGCAUCUUUUUGAUAUUAAAGCUCCGGCGGUUAGAGAUGGGCGUGCGUCUGAUUAGGUAGUUGGCGGGGUAACGGCCCACCAAGCCUACGAUCAGUAGCUGAUGUGAGAGCAUGAUCAGCCACACGGGCACUGAGACACGGGCCCGACUCCUACGGGAGGCAGCAGUAAGGAAUAUUGGUCAAUGGACGCAAGUCUGAACCAGCCAUGCCGCGUGGAGGAUGAAGGCCCUCUGGGUUGUAAACUUCUUUUCUUUGGGACGAAACCCCUGUUUCUACGGGGACUGACGGUACCAGAGGAAUAAGCACCGGCUAACUCCGUGCCAGCAGCCGCAGUAAGAC
rnacentral:rRNA from 1 species